rnacentral:rRNA from 1 species
CGGAUCUCAGAUCAAGCAAGAGGACCCGCCGAAUUUAAGCAUAUAAUUAAGCGGAGGAAAAGAAACUAACUAGGAUUCCCUCAGUAACGGCGAGUGAAGCGGGACUAGCUCAGGAUGUGAAUCUGCGCUUUUAUGGCGCCGAAUUGUGGUCUGUAGACUUUGACAUUAUCUGCCGGGCCAAGUUCCUUGGAAAAGGACAGCUGAGAGGGUGAGACUCCCGUCCGCCUGGUGGAGUGAGUCAUUUGUCAACGAGUCGAGUUGUUUGGGAUUGCAGCUCUAAUUUGGUGGUAAAUUCCAUCUAAAGCUAAAUAUUGGUGGGAGACCGAUAGCGUACAAGUACCGUGAGGGAAAGAUGCAAAGAACUUUGAAAAGAGAGUUAAAGAGUACCUGAAACUGCUGAAACGGAAGCGAAGGAAACCAGUGUUUGUUGGUUCAUAUUUCCCCGGCCACUUGUGGUUUGGGCGCUGUGAGCUUGGCGUGAGUUUGGGU